rnacentral:rRNA from 1 species
CAAAUGUUGUCAGUGGCGCACGGGUGAGUAACACGUGAAUUACAUGCCCUUCAGUGGGGAAUAGCCCAGGGAAACUUGGAUUAAUACCCCAUGGUAUCGCAAGAUUAAAGGUGGCCAGCAAUGGCUGUCGCUGAAGGAUUGGUUCGCGCCCUAUCAGCUUGUUGGCGGGGUAACGGCCCACCAAGGCUACGACGGGUACCUGGUCUGAGAGGACGAUCAGGCACACUGGAACUGAGACACGGUCCAGACACCUACGGGUGGCAGCAGUCGAGAAUAAUUCACAAUGGGGGCAACCCUGAUGGUGCAACGCCGCGUGGAGGAUGACGGUCUUCGGAUUGUAAACUCCUGUCAUCCGGGAGUAAGGCGUGGAUGUUAACAGCAUACACGAUUGAUAGUACCCGGAAGAGGAAGGGACGGCUAACUUCGU